rnacentral:rRNA from 1 species
AGUGAACGCUGGCGGCAGGCCUAAUACAUGCAAGUCGUACGGCAACACAGUUGCGAGCAAUCGCAACCGGUGGCGAGUGGCGCACGGGUGAGUAACGCGUAUGUAACCUACCCUUCUCCGGGACAUAACUCCGCGAAAGCGGUGCUAAUAUCCCAUACCAACUCAUCAAGACAUCUUCUUGAGUUGAAAGCAGCAAUGCGGUGAAGGAUGGGCAUGCGUCCCAUUAGCUGGUUGGUGAGGUAAUGGCCCACCAAGGCUACGAUGGGUAGGGGUUCUGAGAGGAAAGCCCCCCACACUGGUACUGAGACACGGACCAGACUCCUACGGGAGGCAGCAGUAAGGAAUAUUGGGCAAUGGUCGAAAGACUGACCCAGCCAUGCCGCGUGCAGGAUGAAGGCCCUAUGGGUUGUAAACUGCUUUUAGCCGGGAAUAAACACCCGUUUUAUAACGGGCCCGAAGGUACCGGCUGAAUAAGCAUCGGCUAACUCCGUG